UGGGGAAUAUUGGACAAUGGGGGCAACCCUGAUCCAGCAAUGCCGCGUGUGUGAAGAAGGCCUGAGGGUUGUAAAGCACUUUCAGUGGGGAGGAGGUCGUAUAGGUUAAGAGCUAGUAUGAUGGACGUUACCCACAGAAGAAGCACCGGCUAACUCCGUGCCAGCAGCCGCGGUAAUACGGAGGGUGCGAGCGUUAAUCGGAAUUACUGGGCGUAAAGGGUGCGUAGGUGGUUAAUUAAGUUAGAUGUAAAAACCCUGGGCUUAACCUGGGACUGAGAUUUAAUACUGAUUAACUGGAGUAUUGGAGAGGGUAGUGGAAUUUCCGGUGUAGCGGUGAAAUGCGUAGAGAUCGGAAGGAACACCAGUGGCGAAGGCGGCUACCUGGCCAGAUACUGACACU
rnacentral:rRNA from 1 species